GUAGGGAAUCUUGCGCAAUGGGCGAAAGCCUGACGCAGCCAUGCCGCGUGAAUGAUGAAGGUCUUAGGAUUGUAAAAUUCUUUCACCGGGGACGAUAAUGACGGUACCCGGAGAAGAAGCCCCGGCUAACUUCGUGCCAGCAGCCGCGGUAAUACGAAGGGGGCUAGCGUUGCUCGGAAUUACUGGGCGUAAAGGGAGCGUAGGCGGAUAGUUUAGUCAGAGGUGAAAGCCCAGGGCUCAACCUUGGAAUUGCCUUUGAUACUGGCUAUCUUGAGUAUGGAAGAGGUAUGUGGAACUCCGAGUGUAGAGGUGAAAUUCGUAGAUAUUCGGAAGAACACCAGUGGCGAAGGCGACAUACUGGUCCAUUACUGACGCUGAGGCUCGAAAGCGUGGGGAGCAAACAGGAUUAGAAACCCUAGUAGUCC
rnacentral:rRNA from 1 species